GCCCAAGAUCCACAGUCAUUAAAUGGCAGGGCUCUAGUUCAAAUCCAGGUCAGUGUGAUUCCAGAGCUCACAGUCUCACCACUACUCUCUUCUAGAAUUUACAGUCUUCAUGCUUUGCUCUUCUCUCCUUCCCUCUCAAGACUGCAAUCAUGGAGCUGAUAGACUUAUUUUCACCAAAACAUAAAUGAUGGGCACAGCUUAUUAUGUUUUUUUUCUGGAUGCAUUUUGAAAUGACCAUUGGAUGUACUUCUUUUGCAUUUUUAUUGUGAAAUACAGAACCAGUUUUGGCACUUUAUGAGACAUGCAUACAAGGAGAAUGCCAGGUGAACGUGAAGACCAUCAUUUGCAAGCCAAGAGAGGCCUGGAGCAGAUCCUUCAGAGCCCUCAGAAGGGACCAACCCUGCUGGCACCUUGAUUUUGGACUUCCAGCCUCCAGAACUAAGAACUUGAUGUAUACCUCCUGACCUGUUCAUCUUGUAGCUGCCUCUUGACAGAUAUAAGAGGCCGCCCUGUAGAGGAGGAAGGAGGAAGUUGGCUGUGAUUGACCUUGCUAGGUCAUCUUCCUAAUCUUUGUCCUUUCCUGCACCCCAAAUGGAAGAUAAAAGGCAAUGCAAGAUCAGCAUCCUCAGAGACAUCGUUUUGUUUGGGUUUCAUGGAUUGCAAUUGCCAGAGAUGCUUAGGCUGCCUCUAGAGGGAAGAUGAUUGAUUGUUAACCUAUGUGGUCCAACCAAAUGUCUUAGGGGUUAUUGAUAAUUAAAAUGGACAAUAGCGAUUUUCCAUUUCUUCUGGCCUUGGGUGCUGGCAUGUGGAAGUGGUAUUGAUACUCAUGACCAAAUAGGCACUUAUCGAUUUCAGUUUUCAUAAGUUGCCUACCAAAUGCAAACUAGUAACCCAGACGUGGGAGACCUAAUAUUCCAUUGUUAAUCUUUAGGUCCAUAAUUUUUAUUUCCUCUACUUGCCUCUUCUUCCUUCCUCUGCAUAAUGAGUUGGGCUUAUAUAAUUGCACCCAUUUACUCACUCAUUCGUUCAAUCAAUUAUUUGUUCCUAUUUUAUGCCAAGUAAUGAACAGAAGGUGUUGGGGAUGCAAAACCCAACUAAUUGGAAUUUCUAUGUUACAGGAGCUUAUGCUUUAGUGAAAUUAUAGACAAAUUAUUAUACAGUUUUAAUCCAGAAUAGUAAGUGCUAUGGGAGCAUGCACAGAGGAAACAACCCAAUCUUAAGGAAUCAGGAAGGUUUGCAGAGGACUGACAGGAAAAGUGGGCAGGUGAAGAAGAUGGGCAGUGAGAGGAGGAGUGGAAGCACUUUUGCUAGGGAAAAACAUGAAUAAAAGGGAUAAUUUUCUGCUCUUACCCCUGGGUGAUCUUUGCGUGGUACUGUCCAUCACAGUUGGGAGAGACGGCUCCUCAGAGCUGCUCCACACUGUUCACAGAGGAUGCCAUUCCAAGGAAACUGGGGAAUAGGGAAAGUCUUUAGCUUAUUCCUCUUUGAGGUUUGUUUGAGAUGCAGUUUCUUCAAUAUUUUGAGUCUAUGAAAACAUGUUGUAUACUUAAAUAUAUACCACAAAAAAUAAAAAAAAUUGCG
rnacentral:lncRNA from 1 species